rnacentral:rRNA from 1 species
ACUCCUUCACUCGGCCGUGAAGAAGGAAUAUCCCACCACUACAGCCUGCGGUAGGUUACCUUCAAGACAAUGUGGUGUUUGGGUCGACUCUCAGUAUUGUCACCACUCGAAGUCCAGCAUUGAGUAUGGUUCCCUGGAUUUGGCACAGGGAGCGUGAAAGACCCGUACGAAAGUAGAUUCAGGCAUGUGAGAGAAUUAACCAGGUCGGUAUUCGAGUCAGGUUGUUUGGGAAUGCAGCUCAAAGUGGGCGGUAAAAUCCAUCUUAGGCUUAAUACAAGCAAAAGUCCAAUAGCGAACAAGAACAAGGAUUGUCACCACUCGAAGUCCAGUUAAAAAGUACUUUCAAAAGAGAGAGGGAGUUAGCAGUACGUGAAACUGCUUAUAGGUAAACGAGUGGCGUCAAGCUGCAUGCCUAGAUGAUUCACUUGUUUGGUGUGUAUGCGUGUCUGGUGCGUCUGUGGGACGGACAGUCCGCUGUGAGAAGGUGGGCCUGGCCGUUUGGUAAACGGAACUGGCGCUGUGGAAUAAACCAAACGCCCGGUUAAGGUGCCUAACGCUGACGCUCAUGAGAUACCACAAAAAUUGUUGUUUAAUAUAGACAGCAGGACGGUGGCCAUGGAAGUCGGCAUCCACUUAAGAGUGUGUAACAACUCACCUGCCAAAUUGAUCAGCCCUGAAAUGGAUGGUGCUGGAGCGUCGGACAUAUACCGGGCCGUCAUCGCAAGCUGGAUCACUGGCUAUGCUUGGUGGUGUGAGCAGCACAUGGCUGGUUGCGUGAACAAAAAUCGGUCGCUGUCUUGCGAAGUCAUGAUCCAGUAAAGGAAGCGGUUGCGAGCAGGAGGGUCGCCGUGGUGAGCGUGGAAACCUUGGACGUGAAUAUAAGUGCAGCCACCAUGGGUGAAGAUCUGGGUGGUAGUAGCAAAUAUUCAAGUGAGAAACUUGAAGGCCGAGGUGGAGAAGGGUUCCAUGGGAACAGCAGUUUGCCAUGGGUCAGACAGUCCUAAGCGAUCCGGUGUCUCGGUACAGAGACGCGGGGUGCCUUGCAUACUUCUGUGUGUGUGCGUGUGCGCGCCUGCAACUGGCAGCCACCCGGAGCGAAAGGCAAUCGGGUUAAUAUUUCCGACCCUACCCACGGAGAUAGACAAGCGUUUGGCUGGGCCGUCAGUGUGUGCAAAUUUUUUGGUGUAUGCAGCUGUGGUCCGUGUCUGGGCGUUGCUAAGCGCGAUAACUCAAGCAAACUCGGAGACAUCGGCUUCAGUUCCGGGAAGAAUUUUUUUUUCUUUGUAAGGAGUGCCCACCACCCCUGGAAUUGGGUGUUCCGGAGAUAUGGAAUAUCGCCUGCGUAAAGCACCACCCCUCUUGUGGUGUCCAGAACACUCUGGUCAGUCCUUGAAAAACCGAGGGAGGCAUUAUGAUUUUCGUGACAGGCCGUACCCAUUUCCGCAUCACGUUACUAAUGUAAACAGCCUUUGGCAAUAGAAUAAUGUAGUUAAGUUAAGUUGGCAUCUUCGAUCCGUAACCUCGGAAAAAGGAUUGGCUCUGAGGGCCGAGUCCGACACGCUGGGCAAAGAAACGUGUCCGCUCAGCCUGCGGCUGGCUAGUUGGCUAGGUUGACUGUGGCUGCAACUGCCGCUGCUGCUGCUGCUACUGCUGCUGUUGGGUUUACGCCACUUCUUCCGCUGUUUGCUGCGUGCGUGCUGCGUUAUCUGUGUGGCGUUGUCGGGCCACAGGCCGCGUAACAUGGUGCGCGCGUGCGCGCAUUCACCUGGCUGUGGUGGUUGAAGCGGUGGCGUGGUGUGACCUUGACCGGGUGCCUGACUGGGCGGAAGUGGGCAGGUCCAGUUAUGCCUGUCCGUUAGUUUGCGCUGUUUGUUGCCGGGACUAUUGUUGUGGUUUCGGCUACGAUGGUGGUUGUGUUGGCGGGGGCUGUGUAGCCUUGGAGCACUUUUCUAUCGUCAAACGGCGGGAGUAAAUAUGACUCUAUUGAGGGGUAGAGCUAAAGGCCCCCUUCCUGCGCCCAGGGUGCUAUCCUGAGGGCGUGGUUGGUACCCAUAGCCUGCUCGUGGUGCUUUCGGUGACGGGAAGGGUUCACUCUUUGGACAUCUAUGGCUCAGUUGCACUCGUUUGAAUAUGCGGCCCCACUGGUCUGUCGGUGUCUUAACUAACGAAAAAUGAUGAAGUCCUUUAAUAAAGCUGUUAACCCAUUCCUCUCCAUGACCGUGCCUACUCAACCUUCUUCCGAGAACUUUCUCUGUGAUCAUUGUACUCAAGGCUUCUUCUAUGUGCGCGAUCACUCAAAAUAUAUGAAGAGUACCCAUCCUGCUGCAUACUUCUCUGAACGCGGCCGUUUAGCUCCUUCUUGCUCUAACUGGACUGCUCAGGCAGAUGCUCUCCUGCAUGGCUGUGCUUCAGCUGUGGUCCAGGUAUCUGGCCCACUUGCUCUUUGUUCUCUUGCUCGCAAGGUGGGGUUAAGUUCCACACGUGCAUUUUUUGAGCUGUUUUCAGGCGAAUUUCUAAGUUGCAUAAGGACAAGCUUCUGAUUUCCCUGUCAGGGCAACUCUCUCCUGCCGGUCUUACUUCUCCUAUUCACCUAACUGCUCCUAUUUGCUUAACACACCAGAUGUAGUGCUGUCGAAACUCACUCCUUCACUCGGCCGUUAAGCUCUAAUCUGAAUCACCAUGUCAGGCCUUAGUUUCAGGAUCUGCUCAUGGGAGAGGAGCAUCUUCCUGAAGCUGCUCCACGCCUUGAUGAGCAUGCGCUCUCUGUUCUUCCACGACGCUGGCAACUCAGAAUUAGUCGACGACCAACUGCAGCUUUGCGCCCCACCGCCAGCCGCACACUUAGUCGGGCUCAGUAUGAGGAGGUGCAAGCUCGGCUUGCCGAAAAUCCCAAAGCCGGAGCCCAGUUUGUUCUGUCGGGAGAUUGACGUAAGGCCCCGUGCCCUGAAGCACCGCUACCCCAAAUGCUGUGGCUUGGGAAAUCCUUCAUCCUAUGUCUGCCGCUGACGUGACUCAAAACCCGUGGCUGAUACAUGGCUCUUUUGUUGGAAUUGAUGGCUUUUCAGCAGCGAUGGAUCUGCUGCAGUGGUCACCCGGGGCCAUAGCUGCAUAUCUUAACAUCAUUUUAGCGACUGGUCACCUACCCGCGCAGCACUGCAUUUGUCAAUUUACCCUUGUUCCCAAACUCGUAACUGCUAUUCUGCCUUCGGACUUCCGCCCAAUAGCGGUGUCAAAUGUGAGCCCUCGCUCGCUUAGUCAUUUUCUCUCUCAACGGUGGUCACGCCUCUGCCCUAAUACCCACUGCCAGUUUGGUUUCCAGGAGCGGGAUGGGACGGCAGAGGUGACGUCUCUCCUUCACGGAAUAUUACGGCAUGCGAUCUCUGCACCUAGAUCCAUUUCUGUGGCUGUGCUCGAUGUGUCCAAAGCCUUUGAUUCCGUGAAUCAUUGUACGCUCCUGCGAGCUGCCGAGACGAAUGGAUCCCCACAUUUACUCCUUAAUCUUUUAGCUUCAUCCUAUUCCCGAAUAACUACAUUUUUAUUGGGCACUGAGAUACGAUGCUAACGUGGCGUCCGCCAAGGUAAACCUUUCUCGCCUCUUCUCUUUAACUGAGCUAUUUUGGAAGCUAUUACUUAUUCUGACCGAUGGCUGGGCUUUGACAUGGCUGGAACAACGGUGGAUUCCAUCGCGUACGCGGACGACCUCGUCCUGUUCGCUUAUCACCUCUUCGCUUGCAGCAGAGGUUUGAUGGUCUGGCCAAGAGCCUCUCCCUUGCUGGUGUGAUCCUCAUUUCCUCAAAAAUGUGCCUCUUUCUACGUGCAAGCGUUUAGUAAGGAAAAGAGUGCAUGCCAUAGUCCGUGCGAGUUCUCAAUCACGGGGAGUGUCUUGCGCUCGCUCGUGUCCUUGGACACUUUCAAAUAUUUGGGAGUGCCCUUCUAAUAUCGUGGUAAGGUUGCAGUAGGUAACCGUCCUAUCCUUGUUGGUAUGCUAGAUGAGCUAUCAAGAGCACCAUUGAAGCCGCAGCAGAGGGUCUCUCUCCUGAAGCGUCACCUACUGCCGAAAGUUCUUCGCGAGCUUAUUCUGGUUGCGGUUCACCGUAAACCUUGAAGUCACUUGAUACGCAAUUGCGGCAAAAUGUGCGCCGGUUGUUGAGGCUUCCUUCAGAUACGCUGACAGCUUUCUUUCAUGUGCCUGUUAAGAUGGUGGGCUUGGUGUGCCCUGUCUGACAGUACUUGUCCCCUUUGCAAAGCGCCGUUACCUGAAUUCUGUGCUUGCCUGUACGGAGCCUGCUCUACGAUCAGCUGCCACAGUCCCUUCUGCAUUUUCUGGCCUGCGGUGUGCAGCUCAAGGACUGGGCCAUUCGGUCCUGGCCAGCAUGGAGGACGCCCGGACCUACUGAAGAUCUGCUCUCUAUUCGUCUGCGGAUGGUCGUCUACUCGCUGCCUUUGCUACAUCUGCCCGCGCCAAUUAUUGGUUCUCCUCCCCUGCUCGGGUAUUUCCGUGGCUUUACUAACGAGGCAUCCACAUUCGGCGGUAUUCCUCUCCACAAUAUCCUGCAAGAACUGUAUGACAGGCUCUACUUAUAUUUUGUGUCGAGGACAGUGCGGCCAACGUGAUGCACUGUUCCAUGUUCUACAUUGCUGUCAACUAACGCACCAGGUUUGAGUCUGGAGGCAUAAUCAGGUUAUGAAACUACUGGCGUCUAAGCUGGUAAGGCGUGGACAUUAGGUGCUGUUGGAGCCCCACAUUCCCGAGGGACGGACUUUUCGAAAGCCUGGUCUUGUGUUGUUUGCUGAGGAUGGUCUCACUGUUGUGGACAUUACAGUCGCUGGCAAGGAUCUGAUGGAGACGGUUAACGCUGGAAAGGUCCGCCACUACUCGAUAGCGGAACUCCAGGAGAAUCUGCGGAGUAUCCUUGGCCGCCCAGCUGAUUUCCCCGUCUCCCAUGAACCCACCUUUUUCUCAUCACUUGGCACUUUGCACCCGCGCAGUGAAGCCAGACUACAGCUUCUGGGCGUUUCGAAGCUUGACCUCUCGGACCUCUGCCUGGUGGUCAUGCGUGGCUCGCUGAAGGUCUAGGAUGUCUACAUGCGUGGAAGUGGUGGUAAUAUGAACAGUUGACUCUGUGGUGUGGAGCCGCGGGCUGUUUAAAUGACGCAGGAGACUCAAACUGACUGGUAGCCUCCUCUGUAUAACUGGCUAUGUGGUGUCCAGUGGCAGGGGACGGUUGCCUUAGGAAAUCAAUUGCUGAUUCACCCCGUUGGAGACUGCUGUGUGUUGCCCCCUUUGUCGCAGCUAACUGACUGUUGUUCCUAAGCCUCCCGAUUGGACUGACACGGAGUUCUCUUAGUGUUGCAAAGUAUGCCUUUUUAUGGCAUUUCUGCCCAUAAUGUAUUUUCAUGUUGGCUAUCAUAAAAACUUCCUAGCCAAAUGCUUCGUCAUCUAAUGAGUGACGCAAAUGAAUGGAUAAUCGAGAUUCCUACUGUACCUAUCUACUAUCCAGCGAAAUCACAGCCAAGGGAACUGGCUUGGCAGCAUCAGUGGGAAAAGAAGACGCUGUUGAGCUUGACCCUAGUCCGACUCUGUGAAGAGACAUNACAAACAGUAGCUCUGACUGCUAUAUUAUCACUCACACGACAAGGAGCGUUCCGAACCCUCAUACGUUGUCAGCAUCAUCACAGAUCUAUCCCAUUGCAUCUAGCUAUUAAUGUUUUAGUGAAGCAGUUUUUUUCUCCUAUUUUUUUUUUAAAAUUGGCGGCUCGCUGAACUCCACCUCCAAUUUACCGAAGGAGUUUUUUUACUGCUUCUUUUCUAGUUCACCGUUUAUGUUAAAGAUUGUUGUCUAUUGUUUUAAAAAUGGCAAAUCGUUCUGAAUCGGAUAUGCCUACCAUAAUGUUAAUUUCUGCUGUUAAUAUGGCUGCUCACAUAGAGCAGCAAUUAUCCACUUUGUAUUUAUUUAUACCGCGAUAUAAAGUUUGAAAUGACGGGGCUCUCUGGGCCUUAAAUAUACAAUUUAUUUAUUUAUUCAUUUAUUUAAUGAGUGACGCAAAUGAAUGGAUAAUCGAGAUUCCUACUGUACCUAUCUACUAUCCAACGAAACCACAGCCAAGGGAACUGGCUUGGCAGCAUCAGUGGGAAAAGAAGACGCUGUUGAGCUUGACCCUAGUCCGACUCUGUGAAGAGAUAUGAUGGGUUUAGUGUAAGUGGGAGGCGGGAAUCGCCCUUCGGGGUCUCUCGUUCGACCAUGAAAGACCACUCCCAGAAUGGUUUCUUUACUUGUUCAGUUAAGCGGGAUCUGUCAAUUAUUUUCCAUGGUGACAUUAAGCACACGUUAUUGUGUUGGUCGCACCAUGUGUGUGGCUGGCGUGCCGGCGUCUUGGUCACAACAAUCUGGCCAGGGCUAGUGAUAUGCGUGUUUUGCCCUCUACUGCCUGUAAGAUGUUGCCGCAAGGCGGCAGUCCACAGCUGGCAGACGGUGGGCGCAUGUGUCCGGUUUUGGUGCUAUCUGGCAGGUUUGGCGACGUGCGACCCGAUCUGAAGACAGUGUCAGGCAGGGAGUUUGACUUGNGGCCAGGGCUAGUGAUAUGCGUGUUUUGCCCUCUACUGCCUGUAAGAUGUUGCCGCAAGGUGGCAGUCCACAGCUGGUAGACGGUGGGCGCAUGUGUCCGGUCUUGGUGCUAUCUGGCAGGUUUGGCGACGUGCAACCCGAUCUGAAGACAGUGUCAGGCAGGGAGUUUGACUUGGGUGGCACAUCUGUCAUAUCAUAACGCAGGUGCCAAGGUGAGCUCAACCAGGACAGAAACCUGGCGUUGAGUAAAAGGGCAAAAGCUUACUCAAUUUUGAUUCUCAGUACGAAUACAGACCGUUAAAGCGUGGCCUAGCGAUCCUUUUGAUCAACCGAUAUUCACAGUUUGAAGCAAGAGGUGUCAGAAUCGCAACCACAUGGAUAACUGGUUUUUGGUGGCCAAGCGUUCAUAGCGACGUCAUUUUUUAUCCUUCGCUGUCAGCUCUUCCUAUCAUUGUGAAGCAGGAUUCACCAAGCGUUGGAUUGUUCACCCACUAAAAUGGAACGUGAGCUGGGUUAAGAACGUCGUUAGAUAGGUUAUUUUUACCCUACAGAUUGUUGAACUGUGUAAGCAGUGAAAUACAAUCUGGCCGUUGCAAUGGUAAUCCUGUUUAGUACGAGAGGAACCGCAGCUUCAGACAUUUGGUACAUGUGCCUGGUCGAGUGGCCACUGGUGUGAAGCUACCAUAUGAGGGAUUAAGACUGAACGCCUCUAAGCCUGAAUUCCGUCCAGAGAUGCGCAACGAUACAGCUUGGCCUGCCACGUGGUUCGGCAGAUAUAGUAUUUUCCGGUCAGGUUUCAUUCGGAUGGGACCAGCGUGCCCUACCGAACCUGGUCGGUUCGGUUAUGUUAUGCCAGAGCUGUGACCAUAACCACAUGCACCGGGCCAUGGUGUUGUGGGUGUCGACACGAGAUCCAAUUGUGGUAUGAGCGUGGCGGCACUAAAUCGUUUGUAGAUGACUUAAUGUUUUGUCGGGGAUACGCGAGUAUUCGAGCAGCUAUUACACUGCGAGUUAUUGAGUCCUUUUCCUACCCGACGCAAGGAUUUGA